rnacentral:rRNA from 1 species
GACGUAGGGCGCGAGCGUUGUCCGGAUUUAUUGGGCGUAAAGAGCUCGUAGGCGGCUUGUCGCGUCGACUGUGAAAACCCGCGGCUCAACCGCGGGACCUGCAGCCGAUACGGGCAGGCUAGAGUUCGGUAGGGGAGCAGGGAAUUCCUAGUGUAGCGGUGAAAUGCGCAGAUAUUAGGAGGAACACCGGUGGCGAAGGCGCUGCCUCUGGGCCGAAACUGACGCUGGGGAGCGAAAGCGUGGGUAGCAAACGAGGA